rnacentral:rRNA from 1 species
UAGGGAAUCUUCCGCAAUGGGCGAAAGCCUGACGGAGCAACGCCGCGUGAGUGAUGAAGGUCUUCGGAUCGUAAAACUCUGUUAUUAGGGAAGAACAAAUGUGUAAGUAACUAUGCACGUCUUGACGGUACCUAAUCAGAAAGCCACGGCUAACUACGUGCCAGCAGCCGCGGUAAUACGUAGGUGGCAAGCGUUAUCCGGAAUUAUUGGGCGUAAAGCGCGCGUAGGCGGUUUUUUAAGUCUGAUGUGAAAGCCCACGGCUCAACCGUGGAGGGUCAUUGGAAACUGGAAAACUUGAGUGCAGAAGAGGAAAGUGGAAUUCCAUGGGUAGCGGUGAAAUGCGCAGGGAUAUGGAGGAACACCAGUGGCGAAGGCGACUUUCUGGUCUGUAACUGACGCUGAUGUGCGAAAGCGUGGGGAUCAAACAGG